rnacentral:rRNA from 1 species
AUGGCGCAGCCCGACGAGGGCAACGAGUCACUGGAUCGGGAGACCACCUCUUUGCCCACGGCUACUCCAAUUAGGCAAUUUCCGGCGACUGAGACUAAUGGCCAGCCCUCGAUGAGCAGCACCCUGGUGGCCUCUGCUCCAGAAUCCUCUCUGCCCACAGCUACUCCAACCAUGCAAUUGCCAAGAACUGAGACUAGUGGCCAGCCGAGAAUGAGCAACACACCAGUGAAUAAUCAAGACAAACAAGAUGCAGAUAAUGCUCCAAGAGUUGGGAAGUGCUUUCAGUCUGAAGAAGAGGCGUAUCAAUUUUACAAUUCUUAUGCUCAAACCAAGGGAUUUAGCAUUAGGAAGUGCCACUUGAAGUUUAGAGCAGAUGGGACUUUAAGUUCCAGAUAUUUUGUUUGUAGCAAGGCAGGUGUGAAAAAUGCUAAUCCAACACAUGUGGCCAAGAAAGAAAAAGCUAUUUCGAGGACUAAUUGUAUGGCUCGAGUUCAAUUCAGCAUCAAUCAAGAGGGAAUUUGGACUACUCAGAAAGUUACGCUCGACCACAAUCACCAGCUUGUAAGUCCAGAUAAGAGGCACAUGCUUAGAUCGCAGCGUCAACUCUUAGAUGCCGAUCGCCACAUGAUUAAGCAAAUGAGGACAUCGGGAAUUAAACAAGCCGAAAUAUAUGAUUUUUGCGAGCUUUGGUAUGGUAAAGAUGCUAUACCCUUCUUGCAAAUGGAUUGCAACAAUUAUUUGUGA